rnacentral:RNase_P_RNA from 1 species
CAGGCAGAAUUAAUAAUCGCGGAAUUGAAUUAUUACAAUUUAAUUUUGAGGAAAGUCCGGGCUUCACAGAGCAUGGUGCCGUUUUAAAACGGUGAAGGCAACUUUAAGGAAAGCGCAACAGAAAAUAUACCGCCGCAUUUUAAAAAAAUUAAUAGUUAUCAUUUUUUGUCUUUUUAUUUAUAUUGCGGUAAGGGUGAAAUAGUGAGGUAAGAGCUCACUCUGAUAUGCGGCAACGCGUACAGUGGCAAGCCCCGCCAGAAGAAAGAACAAAUAGGGAAACUUAAGGCUGCUCGUCUUACACGGUUUUCGGGUUGUUCGCUUAGAUAAAUGAUUAUUUUAAUUAACAGAACUCGGCUUAUGAUUUUGCCUGACUU